rnacentral:tRNA from 1 species
GGCUCAGUGGUCUAGUCGUAUGAUUGCUGCUUCGGGUUAGUGCCCAGGUCCCUAGGAUCGUGAAUGUAGCAGGUCCCGGGUUCAAAUCCCGGCUGAGCCC